rnacentral:lncRNA from 1 species
AAAUGACAAUUGCUUUAAGUGUUGUCGAUUUGCAAAAUUUGAUCUGCAAAUGGUUUCAUUCAUCCUCUGUUCUUCACUGAUCCCCUCUCCCAGAUUUCUAACAGAAACAAAUUCAUCAUCUCAAGUGCUUUAUCCGAAUCCUAUAUGAAAAAGGUAAUUGAUCACAGAAUCUAAAUUAUCUUGAAACAAUUCAAUUGAAUUAGAAUGAAGCUUACAUCAUAAGAAGAAUUGGCGCAGAGAUGUGAGCUUAUGAUCUGAUUAUCAGCUUCUUCGGUAUCAUCGGUAAAGCUUAAGCGUGUCAAUGGGUGUUAACUCUCGGUGGAGAACGAGAAUCAUCG